AUUGAACGCUGGCGGCAGGCUUAACACAUGCAAGUCGAGCGGAGUGAUGGUGCUUGCACUAUCACUUAGCGGCGGACGGGUGAGUAAUGCUUAGGAAUCUGCCUAUUAGUGGGGGACAACAUCUCGAAAGGGAUGCUAAUACCGCAUACGUCCUACGGGAGAAAGCAGGGGAUCACUUGUGACCUUGCGCUAAUAGAUGAGCCUAAGUCGGAUUAGCUAGUUGGUGGGUAAAGGCCUACCAAGGCGACGAUCUGUAGCGGGUCUGAGAGGAUGAUCCGCCACACUGGGACUGAGACACGGCCCAGACUCCUACGGGAGGCAGCAGUGGGGAAUAUUGGACAAUGGGGGGAACCCUGAUCCAGCCAUGCCGCGUGUGUGAAGAAGGCCUUAUGGUUGUAAUGCACUUUAAGCGAGGAGGAGGCUCUUUUGGUUAAUACCCAAGAUGAGUGGACGUUACUCGCAGAAUAAGCACCGGCUAACUCUGUGCCAGCCGCCGCAGUAA
rnacentral:rRNA from 1 species